GGGGAGCUCCAAGGAGCCAAACCCUAACAUCUAACAUAAUCAUCAAAUUGAAGGUCAAAAUGAAGUUCAAAUUCACAAUCAAACAUGAAUAAACGAUCACCAAGUCAAGGGGAUCGUAAGUUUGACUCUUGACAAGCUAGACGGAGGCUUGGGAAAAGAAGCGGGUCAAACGAAGCAAGAAUGGCGGAAAAGCAUAAUUCGGAUGCAAGGUAAGUGUAACUUACACUAGUCUUAAAUUGUGGAAUGUUUUCUUAUCAUAUAAAUUAUGAAUGAGGUGUCUAAACAAUUGAAAUAUGAUGUUCCGUCGUGUAAUCGAACGGAACAAGAAAAUCAAAGAUAAAUGGUCAAUUUGGCCAAACGGGUUAAAAGGUGUAGAUAACACCUUUUGACUAUAUAGACUAAUGAUUCUUUUGUCGAGUCAUAUGCUUACAGGAAUAGAUAUCCAAUGGAUAUUCGCACCGAUCUUAAUUAGCGAAUAUAAAGCAAAGUAUUAAGAUCGGGUCUAUUUGUUGACCCGAGUCAGGUACGCUUAUUUAUGAUGUAUGUAAAAAUACUAAUUUGGUCGAAUAUUUAGUGAUAGCCCUUCAUUGUAAAAGAAGGACCAAAAUCGACCAAAAUGCCCUUGUAGGCUAAAUUGAACAAACAACCUUUAAAGGUUGUUUGGAAACGAGUUUUGCGAUAAGAUAAAUACUUAGAAUAAGUAUAGAAGUUGAAGGGGGUAUUGUUUUUAGUCAAACGGCACUAUUGAGUUUUGCCGUAAAAUAUUGAUUUUAGAGGUAAAAUUUGGGUUAUAUAAGAUCACCAUAAUAAACUCACCUUAAACGCAGCCGAGGUGGGGUAUUAUAGGGUAAGAAAUGUGGUGAUGGAAUACUAGAAGAAAUCGAGAGCGUUUUUAGGCUUGAAAAUGCUUAAAUACCCUUAACGGGUCAAAAUAAACAUCCGAGUGAAAAUGGGUUUAAUUUGAGUAAUUAAACCGGCGAUUAAAAUUUAAUAUGAUAGGCAACGUUAAGUCGAAGAAGUAUAUGUGAUAUAAGGGCCAAAUAAACAUGUUUGAUGGUGAAAUCACAAACGGGUCAAAAUAGGCAAAAAGGGGAAAUAAGCCGAAGACUUAGAAGUCUUAAAAUUUUGUUAAUCCGGAUGUCGGAUUUUAACUCCAUAUGAUGGAGAAUUAAAUUACGGAAACGUAGGAAAAAGAAUCGUGUAAAACGGAUUAAAAACGAGAGAGUUAUGUCCGUUUCGGUAAGAACUAAUGAAAAAUAGACGUGCAGAGUUGACACGGGCGGGUGACUUUUUGACACGGCCGGGUGGCUGGGCUGUGAAAAAUAUAUGUUAACUGACACGGCCGGGUGACUUUUUGACACGGCCGGGUGAAGGGGCUGAAAACAAAACAAAAAUAAUUUCUUGUUUUGUUACGUUAAGCACAAAACUUGUUUAUACUCGAUUAUUAAAGUGUCAAAACUAAUUAUUUACAUAGUUUUGACCGUAGGUGAAGAUGGGAUAAGCGGUUUGAAAGAUACGAAAGUUUUCGUGCAAAUAAACGGCAAAAUAGGAAAGUUGGAAUGCAGGGGCCACCGUAACUUACGGUGCCACCUAUAUGUUCAACUAUUCGAAGUCGAAUGGGUCGAAUAAAGAAUAAAGUUGAUUGUUAUAAGUGAUGGAUUUCACAUUAAUAGGUCAAACAUGUUGAAUACAAUAUAACGCCGAAUGGCACAAAUGAGCACUAGCCAGAUAAAGGUAGUGUUAAAUGCAAGAGAAUAAUGAGCCCGGCAAUGGGACAUAAUCAAACAUGAAUGUAUGUAAACUGGAUAAUGGUGAGUAUAAGAUAAAACGACGCAUAAGUGACGUGAGAAAUCAUAAAGUCGGAAAAUGUGCCCGAAAAGAAACGAAUGUAGCCUUAGACUACGGUCAAGGUCAAAGAUAAUAUCAAAACAAUAAUAAAUGAUGUUAAGCAAAAACAUGGUGCCUUAACGCCGUAUGCGUAUAUAAAUGUAUACACAUUUGAAGGAAGACGCGAAUAAAAGAUGAUCUACGGGAUCAUCAUAACCUACGAGGUAUUAAUUAGAGCAAAAGGUCUACGGGACCAAAACGACCCACAGGUCAUGAUUAGAAAGAAGUUAUAAGGACUUCGCCUUAAAGAGGUGAAUGUCUAAUCAAAAAUAGCCCAUGAGGCUAAGUGAAGAAACCUACGGGUCAAUAUUGUAAAGCAAGGGGAACUGGUUACAAUUCUCCGUGUAAAAUAAUAACGGUCAGGAAUAAAACUCAAAACGGAAAUUCCUAGAC
rnacentral:lncRNA from 1 species